ACUAUUGAUGAUAGAACAAAAAAAUGUUCCACAAUAUUAAAGAAUAGCGAUAGCAUGUGUGUAUUGUAAUUUAUAAUUUAAUAUAAAUUCCGAUUAAAUCAGACCAAGUUAUAGUGCCGAACGAUCGCAACGCCUUGCUGCAAAGCAAUCCAGAAUCUCACGAGCACGCGCAAGGGAAUCUAGCGCCGAACGUUCGCAACGCUUUGCUGAAAAUCGAUCAAGAAUAUCACGAGCAUGCGCAAGGGAAUAGAACGCUUUCUAAACAAAAAUAUAGUCCGUAGAAGUUACGAGCUGUCUUGUAUAAUAUAAUACUGCUAAUACUCCCGGGGGGCUAAUUCCAGGGUUGAAGCUCACGUUAGGGAGCGAGGCCGGGGCUCCCUAAAUGUUUCCAUGAGCUGUUUAUAUUGAGUUCAUGGAAAGGUGGUGUAUAUAAGGUCACUUGUAAAUAUAAAAAUUGUGAUUUUAUAAUUUUAUUAUUAAGAUAUCUAGUGAUGAAUAAUUUUUCAAUUAGUUUAAAAUAGAUUAGUGUUUAAUAUAGUAGAAAAACUCACAGAAAAUAUAAAAAAAUACUAAACCAAAAAAAAAAAAAAAUAUGAUUGAAUGUAUGAUGAUUAUUUACACGUUACCUUGUACUAUAGGCAGUAGGUAUCGUGUUUUUGCAAUAUUGUAAACAAGACAGCUCGUAACUUCUAUGGACUAUAUUUUCUUUUCGUUUAUUAUUGACAUUGUUUAGAAAAAAAUUCAACUGAAAAAUUCUGUUUAAUAUUUAUAAAAUUCAAUCAAUUAUAAGUCAAUGUACGUAUGAAAAUAAAACCAAUUCAGAUAUACGACCACCACACCGUACACCACCGCAUAUACCUCAAUUCAUAAAAAAAACAUUUAUAUAAAUAUAUAUACAGUGGUGGUCGUUUAAUAACUAAUAAUACCAACGGUCUUUGACGAUACUUUACCGCAAUCGUUUUUCUUUUAGUGGCGUAUCCCUUAUUUUUAAUAAUUGCCGCAGCACUGAAAUUGCAGCAAUCAAUCAAUUUCCUAAAUUUUUCUAGGGGGAUUGAAUUCCAUGCUUUAAGAAAAGCUUCAUAUAAAUAAUAUAAAGGCAGU